GAACAGAAUUAACGGAACACUGUGCUGACGGGGAUUUGCUCGCCGAACAGGUGGAACAUUUGGCAAAGAUAUACGAAAUUGAAACCACACAGCACCAUUCCGAAGAUUGGAUUUUAAAACACGGAGCAGCGUCGUUAGCCGGUAGAUUGAGCCCCCGCACUUUCUUCUCAAACCCCUCGGGACAUACAGUAACUGGAGGAUAGGUGUUUAUUGAAGAUUUGUUGGAGAGAGAAUUUUCCUCCCAGCAAGCCAUUGUGCAAUGAUGGAAAAUGCCAUGUUUUAGGACGAACCCUUAAAGCUAGCUGGCUGACCAGGCAGCUAGCAGCACAUAUCAAGGAUUCUGGAUGAUUCUUCCACAAGAGUCCAUUGGGCAUCAUUAUUAUCAUCCGGAGAGCGCCUCUAAUUUAUCACCGAGACAGACGCAAUGUCUGUCCGUCUGACAGUGGACACAAUGGGCGACGCCAGUCUGAACGACUCGAACGUGAAGGUCGCAGUCCGUGUUCGUCCUAUGAACAGGAGAGAAAAGGACCUGAACACAAAAUGUAUUGUGGAUAUGGAAGGCAACCAGACCAUCCUUCACCCAGGUGGUGGAAACCUGGGCAAGGGAGACUCCAGGUUGGUGUGUGUUUCUGUGUGUGCCCAUGGGAAUCAGUUUCAGCUGUUGAAAGAGUUUGAGUCCAGUAAAGGGAUUUGGAGAAUGUCGCAUGACUGUGUUUGCGUGUCGACAGUCUGUGUCACCUGCUGAGUGAACAAUGAUUUGGGUGGGGGGGGGGUUGAACAGUCUGUGUUUGUUUGUGUGGAGAGAGUGUGUGUCUCUGUGUGUAUGUCAGUAGACAGCCCAGGCUGCCUGCUGCUCCUCUCCUCAUCCUUCCGUGUGUUGGAGCAUAACUCUCCUCCGACUGACUUCCUCUCUUUAUCUCAACCCUUCCGUUGCCCCGACAAUGCAGGGGGAGGUCACGUCGGGGUCAACGCCUUGCGAUCAUGGAACCCCAUUACAUUUGGAGAAGCUAGGGAGUGAGGAAAAAGAAAAGAAAGAAAAAAAGCAUGUUUGCUUUAGCAUCUGUCGGCUGUAAAGAUUCCCGGCUGACUUUUAUGGGGGUAAACAAGGGAAGCGCUAUCAUUUCUCUCUUUCUCUGCCUCUUUUCUUUAUUUCCCUUUAUUUUCCUUCGGAUGACAAUGGUGUGAGCGUUGGUGGGUGGACCAGGUUUUAAACUUGGAGGAGAAGACGGAGCUGGCUGCUGCCCUCACACUGCAGACACUUUAAUGGUGGAGCUGGGUUCGUGUUGUGGGACCUGCUGCUGGGAUGAAGAGAUGAAUGGAGUAGAGGCUCUCCUCGCUCACUCCCAUAGAGCCUCUACAGACUCCCAGGGCCCCAGAUGCCUCCAAUGGCACGAGUUCACAUGACUGCCCAGUGUUUUACCUAGUUUAUCUUUGGUGGUGGGGGCUCGGAAUCCAGACAACAUAAUUUAUUUUUUAUAUAUAUAUAUUUUUUGUACCCCUCUUUCUCCCCAAUUUUGUGGUUUCCAAUUGUCUCAUCGCCUCAACUCCCGUACGGACUCGGGAGAGGCGAAGGUCGAGAGCCGUGCGUCCUCCGAAACACAACCCAACCAAGCCGCACUGCUUCUUGACACAAUGCCCACUUAACCCAGCCGCACCAAUGUGUCGGAGGAAACACUGUACACCUGGCGACCAUGUCAGCCAGAUCUUAACCCUUUGAAAAACAAUUAAACGGAAUUUUGGGAAAAACAAAACAGGUAUUUUAUAGGGCCUAUAAUAUCCAUCCACUCCCCUGUCUUUUUCCUGCGUGCCAGCGUGUGGAGAGCGGGACUGUGUUGCCUGUCUGACUGAUCUCUCUAUCUAUCGAAUGUGUGUGGGACUAGUGGGACGUUGAACUGCUAAUGUUUUGUCUCUGCUCCCGUGUCUUGUUAAAGUUUAAUGGCCGAUUUCGGUUUGUUCUCCCGAUAUGUUCUUUCCUCUAGCGAUAGUUAGAAUCAGGGAUAGCCCUCUGUCGUGUCGAUGCAUGUUGGACCUUCUAUGUUGGCUGAUCUGAUGUAUCAUGAUUCAUGAGUGGAAAAUGAUCAUGUCAGAUAGGGCCUGUCUAAUGAAUGUUCAAUAGGCCUACAGUACAUUGACACUCCCUGAAUGUCCCUGGCUGGGACUGACUGUUCCACCUCCAUUGAGACAAACUGGCCACGCUCAGACUGUACAAGGACUGCCUAUCUAGCACUACCUUCAAUAGAUGAAGACCACCAUACAUGCACACUGGCCCCACACACACACACACACACACACACACACACACACACACACACUAGUGCUGUGACGGUCAUGGAAUUUUGGAUGACUGUAAUUGGCCAGCCAAAUGACUGAGGUCUCUAAUAACCAUUUUGAAUAGCCCCCCCAAAAUUAUUCAAAUAUAUACAGUGCAUUCGGAAAGUAGUCAGACCCCUUUUUCCACAUUUUGUUACGUUACAGCUUUAUUCUAAAAUGUGUUAAUUAGUUUUUUCCUCAUCAAUCUAAACACAAUACCCCAUAACCUGACAGAGAGAACCUUCCCAAAGGACAACUAUCUCUGCAGCACUCCACCAAUCAGGGCUUUAUGAUAGUGGCCAGAAGGAAGCCAUUCAUCAGUAAAAAGCACAUGACAGGACUGGGAGACUAGUCAGGAUUCAGGGAAAGCUGAACGGAGCAAACUACAGUGAGAUCAUUGGUUAAAACCUGCUCCAGAGCGCUCAGGACCUCUGACUGGGGCGAAGGUUCACCUUCCAGAAGGACAAUGACCCUAAGCACACAACCAAGACA